GACAGAGGUGCCGAGCGUUAGGCGGAAUCACUGGGCUUAAAGCGUGUGUAGGUGGAUGCCUAAGUACCUUGUGAAAUCCCACGGCUUAACCGUGGAACUGCUUGGUAUACUGGGUGUCUUGAGCCAGCUAGGGGCUACCGGAACAAAUGGUGGAGCGGUGAAAUGCGUAGAUAUCAGGAAGAACACCAAUGGCGAAAGCAGCUCUCUGGGACGGUACUGACGCUGAGACGCGAAAGCGUGGGGAGCAAACAGG
rnacentral:rRNA from 1 species